UGAGGGUUAAGGCAGUGCUGGAACAUAAUGGUGGCCACACAAAAUAUUGACACUUUGAGCCCAAUUUGGACAUUUCCACUUAGCGGUGUACUCACUUUUGUUGCCAACGGUUUAGACAUUAAUGGCUGUGUGUUGAGUUAUUUUGAGGGGACAGUAAAUUUACACUUAUACAGGCUGUACACUUACUACUUUACAUUGUAGCAGAGUGUCAUUUCUUCAGUGUUG